UCAAACUAGUGAGUCAAGUUAUAAACACCAGGGCUAUAUAUAGCUAGUUUGAAAGAAUGGGUUCCCUUGGUAUAGUAUUGAUUAUUACAAUUUGUUUACUAACACUAAUGAGUCUACCGAGUAGGAUAAUGGUUGCAAGCCAGUGUUCAGGCCCGGCGGUGGGUCUCGCAUUUUCACCAUGCUUGGGCUUCCUUGACAAUAAGGAUCCAAAGCCAUUGAAAACAUGUUGUAGUGGACACGAGAAUUUACACAAGAGAGGAAAAACCAAGGAAGAUCGUGUGGCUAUAUGUAAUUGUUUAAAGACGCUCUUGGAGAAUCACGACCGAAGGCGAUUCCUUAAUAUCAGAGAGCAGUGUCACAUUGACAAAUCGAAAGGACUAGGAAUCUCCGAUGUUGGACCAACUGCCGACUGCUCAAAAACACCAUAGGCAUAGAGGGUUUCCAAGCAUCAAGAUGGAUUCAUUAGGACAACAUAUAUAGUAAUAUGGCAUUGUAUUUUAAUCAAUAUUUAUUAUUUACUAUUUUUAUGGUCAUGAGAAAUUUAUAA